rnacentral:lncRNA from 10 species
CUCCUUCCUUCCCGCUCUUCCCUGGAGAAGGUAGAAUAGGGAGAGGAAAGCCUUGUUGAAAUACAGCCCGAGUCAUUUGCUUCACAGGCUGGGAUUCUUUCGGAUGCUGGUGCUAAUGGGUGAAGUCUGCCACUCUGAUGCUUGCGAGAGCCGUAGGAGACAGGUCAGGUUCCAGACCCGGACUCUGGAGGUCCUAAUCCUGCUGCCCUGGAUCCACCGGUCACCUCGGAGUCUUCACAGUUUCCCUCCGCAGGAGCCAGAAGGAGUUCUCAAAUAGUGAAAUGCUGGUGCAGGGCCCAGUCUCCCAGAGCUCCUGAACCUGGUGCACCUCCCACCCGCAAGCCCAUCCCAAGAUCCCACUAACACCAUUGCAACCCAGUUUGAAAGCACCAGGCCUGUGAGCAUUCUUUCAUUAUUAACAAUUGAAAAUGACCCCAGAUAUUUUUCAGCCUCCUGCUUUGCAUGGCACGUCUCUGUGUUGUCUCAUAUGCAGUCAGCAGUGGUGUCUCCCUUAUGCUGUGUUCAACAGCUCAAACCCAAAAGGAAACUUCACAGGGAAAAUGAACAAGGCUUGUCUGCUUGAGGGGAGUGGGGAGAGACAGCGAGAGACAAAGAAAGCUAAGAGAGAAGAGAGAGGAGAGAGAGAGAAAAAGAGGAAAGAAGGAGAAGAGAGAAGAGAGAGGAGGGGGGAAAGAGAGAGGAGACACGGAGGAGAGGAGACAAAGAGAUAGGAGGAGAAGAGAGAGAAAGGGAAAGAGAGAGAAGAGAACGAGGAGGGGGGAGAUUACUAAAGGACAGUGUGUUGUUCCCAGAACUCAAGACCUGCCCCUCAUCCUCGUGGCCAUCUCCUCUCUUCUCCAGCCUCUCCUAAUUACACGGUCUAAGCUGGUGACCCCAAGAGGACGACAGUUCUCCUUCUGUCCUCCAUUACGAACUGCCUGAGAAGGACAGCCCCUCCCACGUGAGCUCACUCCCAGGACAAUUAGCCUUGACUUGGUGGCAGUCAGCAGCACAGACAUGACUUUCUGCAGAGGAAGGGAACUGUGCACGGUGGAGCCACCCACUGCCUACAGACAACGGCUAAACCCUCAGAACUACAUUUAAGGAUCCUCAAAAUCUGGCCCAAAAGCUUCUGUGUAAACCAAGGAUGAAAACUGAAAUGUGGGUGGGUCAUAACAGGGUGUGGCCUGGGACAGGAGCACAAGCAGAGAGCGGACCACAGAGCCUGGGGCAAGGGAGAUUCCACGUCCCCUCGAAAGGUGUUCUGGUGAAAAUGAAACAUCUUGAUUUUUUUUUCAAUUUUUUAAUUCAUUUAUAUUUUAAUUAAUUAAUUAUUUUGAGAGAGAGUCUCACUCUGUCACCCAGGCUGGAGUGCAGUGGUGCCAUCUUGGCUCAUAGCAACCUCCGCCUCCCGGGUUCAAGCAAUUCUCCUGCCUCAGCCUCCGGAGUAGCUGGGAUUACAGGCACCUGCCACCACGUCCAGCUCAUUUUUGUAUUUUUAGUGGAGACGGGGUUUCACCAUGUUGGCCAGGCUGGUCUUGAACUCCUGACCUCAGGUGAUCCACCUGCCUCGGCCCCCCAAAGUACUGGGAUUACAGGCAUGAGCCACCACACCAGGCCAAUUAUUCAAUUUUUAAAUAUUCAAUUCAAUUAAUACAAAUCGAAUUUAAUAUUCUAUUCAAAUAAUUUUGAAUUGAAGAAGCAUUGAAAUUGUAUUCAAUAUUACUAGAGAAAAGUGCUCAAUAUUAUUAUUUUUGAAUAAAAAUACUUGAAUCAGUAAAAAUAACUAUUAUUUGGCCAUGUUAUGAACUGUAUUGUGUCCCCCCAAAAUUUAUAUGCUGAAGUCUUAAUCCCCAGUACCUCUGUUUAAAGAGGGAGUUCAGGUCAAAGGAGGGAGUAUGGGCAGCGCCUACCCCAACGGGACCAGUGUCCUCCUGAGAAGAGAAUGUUAGGACUCAGACACACACAGAGGGAAGGCCGUGUGAGGACGCAGGGAAGGCAGCCGUCUACGAGCCAGGAGAGAGGCCUCAAAAUGAAACCAACCCUGCCAACACCUUGAUCCUGGACUUCCAGCCUUGAGACUAUGAGACAAUACAUUUCUGCUGUUUGAGCUGUGCAGUCUGUGGUAUUUGUUAUGGCAGCUCAAGCAAAGAAAUCCAGGCCAUACAAAGGAAUGAAGCGCUGCAGUGAUCCAUGCCACAACGCAAAUGCACCUCGAGGAUGUUACACGAAGUGAAGGAGGCCAGGCAAGAAGGCCACAUCUCGUAUGACUCCACGUACACGAAAUGUCCAGAACAGGCCAGUGUCCAUCACCUGUUCCCAUAGAGGCCCCACCUCACAACAGAGGCUCCUGAGAGGUGUCUGGCCUGGGCACUGGGAGCACAGAUCCAGAGCCAGGCUCUCUGUAGUAGAAUGCCAGCUCCAUAGUUUCUAAUCCCAGGACGCUGGUUAAGUGGCUGAACUUCUCUGUGCCUCAGUUCCUUGUCCGUGAAAUGCGGGUAAUGACAGCACUUACCUCACAGGGUAUGGAAAGGACUAAAUGACUUCAUUCUAGAAAGUGCCUGGCCCUUGGUAAGCUGCUCUUAAGUGUGAUCUGUUAAGGAAAGCUUUAGUUGUUGGUUGACUGUUGGUCUCUCACCCUUUAAAUAGAAAUUCCUUGAGCACAGGGACUCUGACUAGCUAUUCCUGUUCUCCAGCAUCAGGCACUGAAUGAGUGAGAUUCUGGUCCUCGCUGUGAGGGAAAGGAGGUGAUCUCCAGGCACCCUCAGCUCCCAUCUUCUGUGGAUCUGGGAGCCCAGGACACAUAGAAAUCUCUUCCCCAGGCCAUACACCAUUCCUUAUCUAUCUGUGGGCCCAGCCCACACUGAACCUCAGUCCACACUGAACCCUGCUCCACGAGGCACGGAGUUCACCAGGCCUCCAACUUGCCUUGCAAAGGACUCAUGCUUUGUAGUGGCCUCAGGGCUAUUCCAAUGUAGGAAACAGGUAGGGUCAAGGGUGCCGCUGGCAAGUAGGACCUACCCUAUGGUGCCUUGCAGGCCUCCAUCCACGUGGGCCACCCAGCCUCAUUCACAGAGUUCUCCAGGUCAGCCACCUGCCCUACUCUGCACAUGACACUCACACCAGCAUUAACUCAUUUUUGCAGGAGUAACCUCUGAAGACCAGCCCUCAAGUUUCAAGGCCCUGCCAGCCGCUCUGGCCAUCUCCACACCUCCAAGGUUCCAGAGAGGAAAGUUCAAGGAAAGAGUUUUCUCUGUUGGCCCAUUCAGGCCCGGGUAGGCCAGAGGUGGCCAGCAGACCUGACAUCUGGAAAUACAGUGGCUGCACGCAAAAGAUUACAGGCCUUUCCAAAGCAAAGCUGCCGAACCCCUCGGGGACCAUCUUCCUGGGCUGAUGCACUGAGGACCCCUGGCCCUUGGCAGGGUCUUCUGCAGGGGAAACUAAAUCCCACCAGCAAAUGUCAAUGCAUGCAAUCGUGACAGGCCACAAGUCACUGCCAAUCCAAAACCUACUCUUUCACAAAUCCCAGAACAGACUUUUAUUAGGUAUGAGCCACUAGCGUGAAUGUAGCUGCCACUACUUAAGAAAUUGGAAUUUAAGCCCCUCUCUCCUGUAUGUGGGAACAUGAAGGUUUGUUUUGGCAUUCAGAUCUGUUUCCAAUCCAACUGUUAGAAAAAUCACAUUAGGCAGGGGUGAACAUUAUACGGGAGUGUGGAUCACAUCUUGUUUUGCAAUACCCCACAGUGUCUCACUUAUAUCAAGAGGAGGCUGUGAAAAUCUUACAACAUUCCUCUGAAAAAUGAGCUUUCAUUCUCCGACAAGGACAUGUGAGAUUUUGGUUCAGGAGACACUUGGAGAGACGACCAAGCCAGACAGCACACAGCCCUUCCUAGGAGAGAUGGGAAGGUGAGCAGAGACUGGCCCAAUAGCAGCAGGUCACAUGCCAUGAACGUGAUGUGUUGGGAGGAUGGGGGUUGCUCCCCACAGGGACACCUCUGCAUCAAAAGUGCUGGGUAAUUUGGGAGGCCGAGGCAGGCGGAUCACCUGAGGUCAGGAGUUCGAGACCAGCCUGGCCAACAUGGUGAAACCCUGUCUUUACUAAAAAUGCAAAGUAGCCUGGCGUGGUGGCACGUGCCUGUAAUCCCAGCUACCUGGGAGGCUGAGGCAGAAGAAUCACUGGAACCCGGGAGGUGGAGGCUGCACUGAGCCGAGAUUGCACCAUUGCACUCCAGCCUGGGCGACAUCCAUCUCAAACAAAAGAGUGCUGGGUGAGAGGUGACUUGCUGCCUGGUUCCCCAAACAAGAAGGCUCUGCUCCCCGGUACAUCCCUAACACCUUCAAACAGCCCCUUUCCACCUCAUCCAGUAUUUAGCAGCCCUCCUCUGUUAGUCACAGCAGUUGCCCUCCUGAGCCAGGCUUUGGAAGACCCCUGACAUCGAGGUGGGCCACAGGGAACAAUGACAUUUUCCCACCUGCACCAGCACACGCACAUCUGCCUCUGGGUCCCGGAACGCCCAGAGACACAUGUGGAUGGCAUCAAAUGGUAGGUGAGGGUACAGAGUUUUCAGCCCCAAUAAUGACAUGCCCAUAGUCAGAUGUGGGUCUCGCAAAGCUGGGGUCACCAGAGACACUGCCAGUGUCUGGGACCAGCCUCCUCCUGGGCCUGCAGGUUGAGGUUUGCCCAGGACCCUGGCACUCAGUCUCCAUGUGGGUAGUUGUUAGACAUCAGCCUGCCGCCAGGCAUGAAGCUGUGCUCCCUGCACUGCAGGCUCCCUGCACCCCGCCCAUCAGCAGCAGGGCUCCCGGUGUGGCUGAGAUGUCAGAGGCACCCUCUGCACAGCCUGAGAUGGGACUAGUGAGGCCAUGAUGAACUGUAAUUCAGAGAGGAUGAAUUUGGGUUACAGAGGUUAAUAUUCUGCUCAUGGUGAGAAUCAUAAGUGAUCAAAGUCAAGGGCAUAGAGGAUGGUCUGACAUAGCCCCAGACCUGAGGCCAAUCGUGAACUUCAGUGAGGGAAAGACCCAGAGGCACUACUGGAAUGAAUGAAUUAAUGAAUGAAUGUAAGAACAUUUAAACUUAACAGCCCGAAUCCUCUGGAGAGAUGCUAGAUGCCACUCUGAGAUGGGGGAGAAGGGUGGGGAGUUGACUGUAGGGCACCAAUGCAUGGAAAACAGACUGGGAAGGAAUUUGCUAGCCUCAGAUUAUGAGGGAGGCUAGAACCAUAGGGAUGGAAGAAGCUGGUCAAGGAGAGUGGGAAGGGGGAGGAAGGAGAGAGGGCACGGGGACCAAGAAACAGCAAGCUGCAAUAUGAAAAUAGUGGGGGCUGAGCUAGAGAGGCUCAGGAGACAGGGUAAGUAAAAGAUGGGAAGGAAUCCCCAUAGCAUUGACAAUGGUUAACAUCUGUGAAUGCUUUCUAGCCGUUCCAAGCACCUUCCCUAUAUUGAGUCUUUUAGUCCUCAUGACAACUUUGGGCAAUAGACACUAUUACUUUUCCUAUUUUUCAGAUGAGAAAACUACAGCCCAGAGAGGGAAGUAACUUUGCUGAAAUAAGUAAGUCUAUGGUAAGUGGCAGAGAGAUACGAACCAGGCAGUCGAGCUCCAAACCCAUGUUCUUAAGUGCUUCAUUUCACCCCUUUGGUCAGAAGGGAUAGUCAAUAACUGAAUCAACGCAUGGGACAGGGUAGGAGGCAGGAUUCUCACUGAACGAGCUUGUCCAGGGUACCUGAGUGCUGCCAUCCAUAAUAUGAGGGAUUAAAAUACCGACCCCCUUUCACCUGCUGGGAACAGAAUGUGUGUUAGUAUACUCUCAACUCUCUGGGGAAAUGUCUUAGUAUAUACACGGUUUAGUUUUUAAUCUUAAACAAGAUGAGGCCCCGAAGCCACUCACUCUGCCCCUGCUCCACAAUGAAGGGAAAGGGAGGUAAAUGGAGACUCCAGUUCAGAACAGUCUGGACACAGCUGCCCAUGAGAAAGAAGGGCAGAGAAAGGAAUGCCUUCUUGUUCUACGGGAAGCCACGCUCACUUACUCAUGUCUUAGGGAUGAAGCUUCAGAAGUUGUAGCCGGACUAAUUUGCAUAAAUAUUUCAGAUUAAUCUUUUUUGAUAUUUUAAGAAUACAUGGGAAGAAAAUGUAAAUGUAAAAUAUUUAUAAACUUUAACUUAUUUUACUUAUAACUUGCCUCUUCCCAUAAAAGAGCUAUUUAGGUAGAUAUGCUAUAAAUGUUACUAUAGACAUACAAGUAGAAAUCAUGACUAUGACAAAGAGGAGGAAGCCCAUUCUAAGGACUAAACAAGCCAAUAUGAUUUGGCAUCUGUUUUUAAUCAAUGACUGCUUCCUGGCAGCUUGGGCAAAAAGGGAAAUAAGAUGUAUUACAAAGCUCUUGCCAUAGACAGAGGAAGUAGGCUAAUCCCUCUGGCAAAACAAAGCUUUUCCUGGCACUCAAUUCUGAAAGAAAUUUCUCAUGUGAAAUCUUACAUAAAAAACACAGUGACUAAUAGCCUUCUGAAACAUGGGAGCGUGAGACCUGAUUUUUAAGGCCCAGUGGCUUCAUUGGGCCUCUCUGAGAGGAUCCUUGUCCUCCUGAGACACAUUGUCUUAAGCUCCUAGAAUUCCAUUUGGUUUCCUGGCUGAGGACUGAAAAAUCUCAUCUCAGAACUCUACGUCUGGUAUAAUGGCUGUCACGGUGUUCUGUGGAUAGGAAACACUCUUUGAGUCAGUACUGCUACCAAAAGAAGCAAAUGGUUUGUCAAGGAUCCCACCCACUACAUAGAAAACAAAACCAUGAGCUGUGCAGUGCCAGAGCAGCAAGGAACCUGAGGAGCCACGCGGUCCUAAUGGCAACAGAGGCAUCGCUAUCAGGACACAGAGCCUCAAGUCAACAGCAAAGGAAACUGGGCUGGAAUGUCCAGCUUUGCUGCAUCAAGAUCCUCAGAAAUGGCUCAUAUAGUUCCACAGCAGUGUAUCCCCAGGGCUGCUGGCCGUUGGAGAAGCAAAUCUGACCUGGAGGAAAAAUUCUCCAAUUUAGAGUAAGGAGUCCCACAAAUGAUGGUCAAGCAAUGAGCUCAUAAUCAAAGAUUAACGUGGAAGAAGGCAAGGCCCUGUGGAUGAGAGUCAGGAGAAACAAGAAGCAACAAAGAUGUCUCUCCUCCAUACCGAAAUGACCAGAAAUGGAAUUACAGAACAGCUACACAUAAAAUGUUUACAGAAACAUGUAAUCACAAAGAUAAGGAAACAAGAAGAGACUACGAGGACUGAGUAAGAAGUUUUGGGGGAAAUGUAGCAUCUAUACACAAAAAGUAUAAUGGUUGAAAUAAAAACAUUUAAUGGGUGAGUUAAAUAGGAGAUUAGAUAAAGCUGAAGAAUUAAUGAACUGGAACAUAUAUCAAAUAUAUUACCAAGAAUGCAAUUUUAUUAAGACAUAAUGUGGAAAAUAAAAAUGACAUAUGAAGAACAGAAUGAGUCCCAAAAAGAAAGAAUAAAAAAAUUGGAGAAAAGGCAUAUUUAAAAGAGAAUAUAUAUAAAUUUCCUAUGACCAAGUUGAAGAAAAAGAAUAAAUUCACAACUCUAGGAAGCAAAACAUCUGAAACAGGAUAAAUAAAAAGAAAUCAACACCUAUGUACAACAACAGUACCCAACAUCAAGACAAAGAAAAGAUCUUAAAAGUAUUUAUAGACUCUGGGUGCGGUGGCUCACACCAAUAAUCCCAGCAGUUUGGGAGGCCAAGGUGAGAGAUCAUUUGAGCUUAGGAGUUCGAGACCAGCCUGGCAACAUGGCGAGACCCUGUCUUUAUUUAAAUAUAUAUAUAUAUAUAUAUAUAUAUAUAUAUAUAUAUAUAUAUAUAUAUAUAAAAGAACUUAAAAAUAAAAAAAUAAAAAUAAAAAAUUAAAGAAACACAUUUUACCUUUAAAGGCAUGACUAUUAGAAUGACAACAGAUUUAUCAACACAAAUACUAGAAGCCAGCAAAUGGUAGAAUAUCCUCCGAGUGUUGAAAAAAAAGUAUCUGACAGCCUAAAAUUAUGUGUCCAGUAAAACUAACAAUUAGGCUUUGUGCAUCUUACUAUUUAUUAAGUUUACUUCAAUAAAAAAUGAGAAAAAUAGUAGAGUGUGUGUAUUACAACUGAUAGAAACAAAUGAAAAGAAGGGAAUAUAAACACAAAAUAAGAUCAUUAUAAAGGUGAGAACUAGAUAAGCCUAGAAAAAGUGAGACAAUUGGAAAUAUUUUUAAAAUAUUUUUAAGUCCGAAUAAAUCAAUAAAUACUACAUAUCUAAGUAGAGUAAAAUUAUUAGGUAAAAGAAACAGAUUGACAAUUGGAUGAUUAAAAAAUCCAACUAUGUACUGUUUACAGGAGACAUGCCUAACGCAUAAAGGACAUAGACAUAUUAAAAGCAAAAAGUGGCUGGGCACUGUGGCUCACACCUGUAAUUCCAGCACUUUGGGAGGCUGAGGCGAGUGGAUCACCUGAGGUCAGGAGUUCAAGACCAUCCUGGCCAACGGUGAAACCCCAUCUCUUCUAAAAAAAAAAAAAAAUUAAUCAGACAUGGUGGUCCUUGCCUGUAAUCCCAGCUACUCAGGAGGAUGAGGCAGGAGAAUUGUUUGAACCUGGGAGGCGGAGGUUGCAGUGAGCUGAGAUCAUGCCACUGCACUCCAGCCUCAGUGACAGAGUGAGAUUCCAUCUCAAAAAUAUAAAUAAAUAAAAUAAAAGCAAAAAGCUUUAAAAACACAUCUGACUAAUAUCAGCCAAAAAAGGAAAGAAAACAGAAAAAACACCCACACAUAAAACCCCACAAAAAUAUCAACACUCUCAGAGAGAUUUUUUAAACGCGCCUAUGAAACCGGACAUGGUGCUAUUUUAAAAAUUAGAGGAUGAAAGAGAUCUCGCUGCCUGAAAAGGAGGAGAAGGGAGGGAUAAUUUUACAGCGGAAAAAUCAGACACACGUUGCCCCACCAGAUGACUCAAGCUCAACAUCAGCAGCGAUGUCACGCUGAUCUUACGUGCCUUGAUACACUGUGAUGAGGAUACUUCACCUCUGUGACCCUCCUCCUACAUCUCCAUCAGCCCAGUUCAACCAUGAGAAAAACAUCAAACAAACCCAAGUUCAGGAACAUUCUACAAAAUACCUGACCAGUACUCCUCAAAACUGUCAAGGUCAUCAAAAACAAAGUCUGAGAAUUUAUCACAGCUAAGAGGAACCCAGGAAGAUAUGACCACGACUGUAACGUGGCAUCACACAAACUGUCAUGUCAGUCUCUUAAAAAGUUAAUCGUAUACCUAAUAAAUGAUCAACCAUUUGACUCCAAGGAAAUGAAAGCAUGUGUUCAUACAGAGACUGGUCCAAGAAUGUUCCUAGCAGCCUUCUUUGUAAUAGAUAAAAAACUGGCAACAAUCCACAUAUCUAUCAAUUAGCAAAAGGAUAAACAAAUUGUGUUAGAGACAUGCAAUAGAAUAGUACUUGACAAUAAAAAAGAACAAAUUAUUUAUAAAUGCUACACCAUGGGUGAAUCUUGAUAUAAUUACGCUGAAUGAAAGAAACCAUAUCAAGCAAAAUGGUCCAUACUGUAUGAUUACAGUUACAUAGACUUCUUGGAAGCCCAUAAUAAGUUAUAGUAACAGAAAGUUGGUAAGUGGUCACCUGGGAAUGGAGAGAGGGUGGGGAGGUACAGGGAGGAAGGAUUACAAAGAGGCAGGAGGCAGAGCUUACUCUGUGGAGAAGCAAAAAAUAAAACGAAGAGGCAGGAAGGAACUUUUAGGGUGAUGUAUAUGUUUAUUUUCUUUACUGUAGUGAUGGUUUCAUGAGUGUAUGUAUACAUAUAUGUCAAACUUACCAAACUGUACACUUUAAAUGUUAAUUUUCCAUUAUAUUUCAAUGAGACUGUUUAAAAAUAUGAAAUUGAGGCUGAGUGUGGUAGCUUGGGCCUAUAAUCUCAACACUUUGGGAAGCCGAGGCGGGAGGGUCACUUAAGGCCAGGAGUUGGAGACCAGCUUAGGCAACAAAGCAAGACCCCAUCUCUACAAAAAAAAAAAAAAAAAAAAAAUGGUUUUAAUUAGCCGAGUACUGUGGUGCCUGCCUCUAGUCCCAACUACUUGAGAGGCUGAGGUGGGAGAAUCACUUGAGCCCAGGAGUUCGAGGUAGUAGUGAGCCAUGAUUGCACCACUGUACUCUAGGCUGGGAGGAAGAGCAAGAACCUGUCUCAAAAAACAAACCAAAACAAAAAACAACAAAACCCAGAAAAAGAAAAAAAAAAAAAAGAAAUUGGAUCCCUACCCCAUAACAUACACCAAAAUCAAUUCCAGGUAGAUAAACAACUUAAAUGUGAAAAGCAAAAACAUUAAAAUUUUUAGAAGAAAUUAUGAGAGAUUCUCUCUCUAAACUUGGAGUAAGAAAAUGUUCCUUAAACAAGAAACAAAAAGCACUAACCCUAAAAUGAAAAAACAAACAAAAGACAGAUAAGUGCAACUAGAUUAAAAUCAAGAACAUCUGUCAAAACAGAUGUCAAAAAUACAAUGAAGAAAGUCACAAACUGCGAAAUAUUUUCAAUAGGUGUAACAUGACUUCUCGACUAAGGAUUAGUAUUCACAAUACAUAAAGAACUCUUACAAGUCAAUAGGGCCCAGUUUCUAGGUAGAUGGAGUAGAUAUAGUUUUCCCUGUUUCUCCCACUAUGCACAAAUAAAAGCCCAGGGCAUUAUCUAUAAAAUAUGCAUAUAAAAAUGUAAGAAGACUCUUACCAUGAAGAGAAGACAGGCCAACUAGGGACCUUGGGACCCAAGGAAUGAUACAGCAGUCAGUUUUCUGGCUUUUCUUUUUACCUCAUAUUUCCCAGACUUGGAGCUGAGGAAAUGAGUAACCUGGAAACACUAAAAGGCACAGACCAAAAAAAGCCCCAACAGGCCGGGCACAGUGGCUCACGCCUGUAAUCCCAGCACUUUGGGAGGCCUGGGUGGGUGAAUCACCUGAGGUCAGGAGUUCGAGACCAGCCUGGUCAACAUGAUGAAAUGUCUCUACUAAAAAUACAAAAAAUUAGCCAGGCAUGGUGGCGGGCGUCUGCAGUCCCAGCUACUCGGGAGGCUGAGGCAGAAGAAUCGCUUAGAGCCCGGGAGGUUGCAGUGAGCCAGAUUGUGCCACUGCACUCCAGCCUGGGUGACAGAGAAAGGCUCUGUCUCAAAAAAAAAAAAAAAGUCCCAGCAAAAGCCUGCUCUUUCUAGCCAAAGGACCAGGGAAGGGGCAUCCUGGUAUGAUAGAGGGCAUUAGGCAACUGCCACUCUAGUCCCUCAAGAGGCUGUGCUGAGGUACGCCAACACCCCUGCUGGGGUAGCCUCAGACAAGGUUAAGUAGGGAGCUGGGCCUUCAUGUGAGCAGGCCAGUGACAAGGCCCCACCUGGGGCACCACUGGAGACCAGGAACUCCCACCCAGCCAGCCCAGCACUAAUCAGGGCCCUGCCUUGGGUGUCAGCAGAGGCCUUGCGGGGAGCCUGGACUUCCACCUCCACCCGCAGUGGGCGGCACCCACCCUUCCCCUACAGGGCCGUGUCAGGGAAGGACGGCUAAAACAGAAGGGCACUAAGAAGGUGUCAAUAGGACAAAGACCGACAAUCUGAUAGGGAAUAGGCAAAAUACAAGCAUAGAAAAGAAGAUAAGAAUCACGCUACCUUCUUAAGCUGCUUCCAUGAUCAAUGAUCUGUACUUAAAAUCAUUUUCACAUAUGGUAAGUAGCAAACAAGAGGUGGUAUUCUUUCUUGAGAUGGAGUCUCGCUCUGUCGCCCAGGCUGGAGUGCAGUGGCGUGAUCUCGGCCCACUGCAAGCUCUGCCUCCCAGGUUCACGCCAUUCUCCUGCCUCAGCCUCCCUAGCAGCUGGGACUACAGGCGCCCGCCACCACGCCCG